ACGAACGCUGGCGGCAUGCCUAACCCAUGCAAGUCGAACGAGACCUUCGGGUCUAGUGGCGCACGGGUGCGUAACGCGUGGGAACCUGCCCUUAGGUUCGGAAUAACUCCCCGAAAGGGGUGCUAAUACCGGAUAAUGUCUUCGGACCAAAGAUUUAUCGCCUUUGGAUGGGCCCGCGUUGGAUUAGCUAGUUGGUAGGGUAAAAGCCUACCAAGGCGACGAUCCAUAGCUGGUCUGAGAGGAUGUUCAGCCACACUGGGACUGAGACACGGCCCAGACUCCUACGGGAGGCAGCAGUGGGGAAUAUUGGACAAUGGGCGAAAGCCUGAUCCAGCAAUGCCGCGUGAGUGAUGAAGGCCUUAGGGUUGUAAAGCUCUUUUACCCGGGAUGAUAAUGACAGUACCGGGAGAAUAAGCUCCGGCUAACUCCGUG
rnacentral:rRNA from 1 species